rnacentral:lncRNA from 1 species
UCCUUGCAAAAUAUUAGGCAAAUUGAAAAUAUUUAAGAUAUCUAAUUGAGUUCAAAGAAAUUAACGAAUACUUUGUUAUAUAAGAAACAAUGAAAUUUUAUCUUGAUAAUUAAAUAGGUAAAUGAUUUUGGAUUGAAUUGAAUUUUUGCAAGGAUGAUCUAUGAAUCGAAACUUACAAAAUAGACAGUUUAAAUCGUUGAAAUUCAAUGUGGAGUGAGCCCCACACCUAAUCCCCAUUUUUUAAAAACAAAUGAGAAUCUCUUU